UCACCCUGAAAGAUGAAACAGAGAUGAAAGCAGUCACCAAUUUUCUCUNNNNNNNNNNAGCGAGACUUUUCACCCUGAUGAAAGCAGUCACCAAUUUUCUCUAAUUAUUUUGCAAUUAAGCAUCCGAGCACCCCAGAUAGCGUGGACUCCCACAGCUCUUAAACCAAAUACCUGACUGUCUGAAAUUAAUUAUAAAAAUGGAUCAAGGGGUGGUUUUCACGUGGUGGCUGAUGAAUGCUUUCCGAGUCUUGUUUUCCUGUUCGUUUACUGUGGUACGUAAGAGGUACAGAACAUAAAAUUCACCGUGUGGGCCAUUUUUGUUUGUUAGUUUGUUUCUGAGACGGAGUCUCGCUAUGUCGCCCAGGCUGGAGUGCAGUGGCGUGAUCUCGGAUCACUGCAACCUCCACCUCCUGGUUCAAGUGAUUCUCCUGCCUCAGCCUUCUGAGUAGCUGGGAUGACAGGCGCCCACCACCACGCCUGGCUAAUUUUUUGUAUUUUUAGUAGACACAGGGUUUCACCAUGUUGGCCAGGCUGGUCUCGAACUCCUGACCUUGUGAUCCGCCCGCCUCAGCCUCCCAAAGUCCUGGGAUGACAGGCGUGAGCUACCGUGCCCGGCCCGAGGCCUGGUUUUCACAUGGUGGCUGAUGAAUGGUUUCUGAGAUACACAUUCUAGCUCAUUUCCCCAUGGAAUUUUUAUUUUUAUUUUUUGAGAUGAGUCUCUCUCUGUUGCCGAGGCUGGAGUGCAAUGGUGUGAUCUCAGCUCACUGCAACCUCCGUCUCCCGGGUUCAAGCGAUUCUCNNNNNNNNNNUCCCCGUUGGGUGACAGACCAAGAUUAUUCUCUCAUAAAAAAAAAAAUCAAAAAAAAAAUUGGGGCCACGUAGAUGGAAGGACAAGAAUAAAGAAACUGAGGCCGGGUAUGGUGGCUCACGCCUGUAAUUCCAGCACUUUGGGAGUCCGAGGUGGGUGGAUCACCUGAGGUCGGGAGUUCGAGACCAGCCUGACCAACACGGAGAAACCCUGUCUCAACUAAAAAUACAAAAAUUAGCCAGGCAUGGUUUUAACAUAAACCAUGUUACAUCAAACAUAACAUAUGUUUGAUUUUAACAUAAAAAAAAAGGGCUGCCUUCUGCUUGCAAAAGAAAUGCACACAGGCUGCUGGCAGAGAGUUCUGGAAGAUGAUAAAGGAAAAAAAUAAAUUAAUUCGAGAAAACUUUGAGACACCUAACAGCACAAAUACCCUCAGUCUUUAGAGAACAGCUGGGGAUACACAUUCUAGCUCAUUUCCCCAUGGAAUUUUUAUUUUUAUUUUUUGAGAUGAGUCUCUCUCUGUUGCCGAGGCUGGAGUGCAAUGGUGUGAUCUCAGCUCACUGCAACCUC
rnacentral:lncRNA from 1 species